UCGAGAAUUUUUCUCAAUGGGGGAAACCCUGAAGGAGCGACGCCGCGUGGAGGAUGAAGGUCUUCGGAUUGUAAACUCCUGUCAUUGGUGAACAAGGCCCUCGGAGUAACUGCCGUUGGGUUUGAUAGUAGCCGAAGAGGAAGAGACGGCUAACUCUGUGCCAGCAGCCGCGGUAAUACAGAGGUCUCAAGCGUUGUUCGGAUUCAUUGGGCGUAAAGGGUGCGUAGGCUGUGGGGUAAGUCUGGUGUGAAAUCCCGGAGCUCAACUCCGGAACUGCACUGGAUACUGCUUUACUAGAGCACUGGAGAGGGAACUGGAAUUUACGGUGUAGCAGUGAAAUGCGUAGAUAUCGUAAGGAAGACCAGUGGCGAAGGCGAGUUCCUGGACAGUUGCUGACGCUGAGGCACGAAGGCCAGGGGAGCAAACG
rnacentral:rRNA from 1 species